rnacentral:rRNA from 1 species
ACGAACGCUGGCGGCGUGCUUAACACAUGCAAGUCGCACGGAAAGGCCCUGCUUUUGUGGGGUGCUCGAGUGGCGAACGGGUGAGUAACACGUGAGUAACCUGCCCUUGACUUUGGGAUAACUUCAGGAAACUGGGGCUAAUACCGGAUAGGAGCUCCUGCUGCAUGGUGGGGGUUGGAAAGUUUCGGCGGUUGGGGAUGGACUCCCGGCUUAUCAGCUUGUUGGUGGGGUAGUGGCUUACCAAGGCUUUGACGGGUAGCCGGCCUGAGAGGGUGACCGGCCACAUUGGGACUGAGAUACGGCCCAGACUCCUACGGGAGGCAGCAGUGGGGAAUAUUGCACAAUGGGCGGAAGCCUGAUGCAGCAACGCCGCGUGCGGGAUGACGGCCUUCGGGUUGUAAACCGCUUUCGCCUGUGACGAAGCGUGAGUGACGGUAAUGGGUAAAGAAGCACCGGCUAACUACGUG